UUAGCCUUUGUUGUUUCAGCCAGCCCCCGCCCCCCUUCUUCUCCCUCCCUCCCUCUGAUUUUCUCUGCCGCCGCUGCCGCCGUCGCCUUCGUGGCAAGCCAUUUCCAUACAGUGAUCUGAGGGCAAGGAAGUUGUUGAUUGAUCAUUGAUCAUUGAUCAAAGUUACCUUCAACUCAUGGCAACGAGGCUGAUGUUUGAGAACUCAUGUGAAGUUGGGGUUUUCUCCAAACUCACUAAUGCUUACUGUUUGGUUGCAAUUGGUGGCUCUGAGAACUUCUACAGUGCCUUUGAGGCUGAAUUGGGUGGUCUCAUUCCAGUUGUUAAAGUAUCCAUUGAUGGCACUCGCAUUAUUGGCCGCCUCUGUGCUGGUUUGUCUACUGUUUUCCGCAUCUUGUAGAAGGCACGCAUUCAUGAUGAAACAAAAAUGGGCUUCUUGUACCCCACACCACUACUGAUCAAGGCAAGUCUCUUUUCUA